AUACGUAGGGAGCAAGCGUUAUCCGGAAUUAUUGGGCGUAAAGGGCGUGUAGGCGGCCAAUUAAGCUAGAUGUAAAAUGUUACAGCUCAACUGUAAACCCGCAUCUAGAACUGGUUGGCUAGAGGAUGAGAGAGGAAAGUGGAAUUCCUAGUGUAGCGGUGGAAUGCGUAGAUAUUAGGAGGAACACCAGUGGCGAAGGCGGCUUUCUGGCUCAUACCUGACGCUGAGGCGCGAAAGCGGU
rnacentral:rRNA from 1 species